GUUCAAGCUCGUUGGAAAUUCGGUAAUCUCGCUUAAUCCCAACUUGGGUACCCUUUAAUUAUUAUUUGUGGUUCACUAAUUACUUAAUUAAUUAAUUAACGUUUACCUUAUUUUUUGAUUUUAUUAUGGUUUCACUGUUUCGAAGAAACUGUCGGUGGGUUUGUUUUGUGGUGGCGGUGUGGAGAUUGACUGGGCAGAGAGGCGGUCGUCUCCAUGCUGUCUAUGUCUGGAUUUGACACGUGGCAUGUGCCUUUUCAUUUUAUGGUGCGCACAUGUUAACUCGAGAAAAUUAUUUAAAGUAAAAAUACUUUAGAAAAUUAAAUAGCAAAUGAAAUUUAAUUGCAAUUAAAAUAAAAUUUAAUUAUACCGUUAAAAACAGUUUUCUUAUUUCAUUUUAAUUUUUUAAUAAGCUUUUUUGUUUUUAUAAAUUCACUAUUAAUUCAUUAAAAAAAGUGUGUUUUCUUUUAUUUUUGCAGGUUUUGUUUUGUAUAUU
rnacentral:misc_RNA from 1 species